rnacentral:tRNA from 1 species
AGACAUAGCUCAGAUGGUUAGAGCGCACGACUGAUAAUCGUGAGGUCGAAAGUUCAAUUCUUUCUGUCU